CAGGCCACGGCGGGUGUGUGGUGCAGCAGCACGCAGCAACACGAUUAAAAGUGCCCUAGUGACGACGACCAAGUCCUGUCCUUUAGGAGCGUCAACAUCAACACGGACGCCAACCUGGGUGAUCUGGGCUCGCAACUCGGCAACAUCCUGUUGAGGGGAAAAAGUCAGGGAGUGAUUUCCUGAACAAGGUUGAUCAACUCCUCCUUCAGAGAUUCGAUGUCGCUCUCCAAGUGGAGACGCAUUACGUUGGUGUCGUCCAGAAGCUUCCUCAGUCUGGCCACAUCGGCGUCCACCGCCUGACGCAUGGACAUUUCAUACUCCAUCCUAACCAGACAUACUUUAUAUCAGACAUGUUGACCCUUGAUAGAGAGCCUGUUUCAUUUACUUAACAAAGCCGAACACUCACUUGACUCUGAAGUCGUCUGCAGCCAGUCUGGCGUUGUCAAGAGAGAUAUUAAGAUGUGCGUUUCCCUUGAUCAUGUCAAAUAUCUGCAAUACAGGAAGUUGUUCAGUGUGGGAAAUACAAACAUAUACUCAUUGAAACGAUGUGUUUUCCUUUUUUUCCACAGUCAGUUAGAUUGAGUGAU